GACGAACGCUGGCGGCGUGCUUAACACAUGCAAGUCGAGCGGUAAGGCCCCUUCGGGGGUACGACGAGCGGCGAACGGGUGAGUAACACGUGAGCAACCUACCCUCAACUUCGGGAUAAGCCUCGGAAACGGGGUCUAAUACCGGAUAUCACUUUCCACCUCAUGGUGGGGGUUGUAAAGUUCUGGCGGUUGGGGAGUGGGCGUCGCGGCCUAUCAGCUUGUUGGUGGGGUAAUGGCCUACCAAGGCGUCGACGGGUAGCCGGCCUGAGAGGGCGACCGGCCACACUGGGACUGAGACACGGCCCAGACUCCUACGGGAGGCAGCAGUGGGGAAGUAUUGCGCAAUGGACGAAAGUCUGACGCAGCAACGCCGCGUGAGGGAUGACGGCC
rnacentral:rRNA from 1 species